UGGACACUCUCAGGGUGGACCAUGGUGGAGAGCAGAGGUUAAAACCUGGUCUGAGGAAGUAUUUCUCUCAACUUGAACUGGACACAAACUCAAUGAACAGAAGACUCAAACUGUCCAACAACAACAGGAAGGUGACACGUGUGGAGGAAGAGCAGCCGUAUCCUGAUCAUCCAGACAGAUUUGAAGGCUGGCCUCCUCAGCUGCUGUGUAGAAAUGAUCUGAGUGGUCGAUGUUACUGGGAGGUCGAGUGGAGCGGAGGUGUUUCUAUAUCAGUGAGUUACAGAGGAAUCAGGAGGAGAGGAGACAUGAAGGAGUGUGUGUUUGGACGGACUGAUCAGUCCUGGAGUCUGGACUGCUCUUAUCAAGGUUACUAUGUCUGGCAUAAUGACAGGAAAACAUCCACCUCCUCCUCCUCAUCCUCCUCCUCCUCUGGUAGAGUAGCAGUGUAUGUGGACUGUCCUGCUGGCUCUCUGUCCUUCUUCAGAGUCUCCUCUGACUCUCUGAUCCACCUCUACACCUUCAACACCACAUUCUCUCAACCUCUCUAUGCUGGAUUUUCACUCUGGUGGUCUGGUUGUUCAGUGAGUCUGUGUCCUCUGUAGGAAGGACGGUCUCUGUCUCUGACAGCAGUCCUGUCAGCACCAAUCAGAGAUCAGAGAACAUCAGUGGAGUUCAGCAGGGUUCACAGACGGAGCCUCCAACACUUUGUAAAUAUGUGGUCAGUUUAAGUUUCAGGACAUUUUCUAACCUCCUCAAGUCUUUGUCAGCAACAGUGGAGACGAUGAGGACAGGACUCUUCUGAUCACAGUUUGACGUUUGAGUUGUUGAUGUUGGAUUGUAAAUGUGAACUGAAUCAGUGUUCUUGUGCAAGUUUCCAAAAAUAAAUCCUUGAUUUCAUUUCCUUUAGGAGUUUCUGAAGUUAAGACUCAACAAGUUCUUUGAUCUCUUUCUUUGUAAUGUCAUGGUGUGGCGUCCACUGUGGGAGAAGACACUCGUCUGUCUCCUCCUUGACCACUUCCACAUAUUUUCUUUGAACUUAUAUCCAGUUAUCCUGUUAAAAUGUGGUGAAGGUUCAUUUUCUGUGUUUCAAACAGUCCUUGUGUUUUGGUUCAGCCCAGCCGGUCCUGAUUGGACCAGUCUGGUCUCAGCUGGACUGAUUGAAGGAGAGUCUGACUGAGAGUCUGAGUCUGUCAGUCUGCUGACAGGCUGGAAGUGAAGCUCUUUUUAACGCUGAUGGACAAAUGAAGCUUUCUGAAGCUCUGAUGCUGGAUGGAAGCUUUUCUACACCGUCCUCUUUGGCGCCACCUGGUGGCCAAAAGUCUGAAGAGCAGCUUGAAUGAACUGCUCCAUGAUGGUUCCCCAGAGUUCAGUUCACUGCUUCAGAAAGCAGAUCAAAUCCUCUGCUCUCAGAAUGGAAGGUCACUCAAGGUCAUCUGACUUUAAACCAAUAAAAACACACGACUCAAACCCAAACACAGCAUUUAACAAAUAUAGUUUCUUAAAAAGUCUGCAGCUCAUUAAUAUUCUUUGAGUCCAGAAGCUCAGAGAAAGAUUAAAUAAAUGUAGCUCAUUUGCCUCAGUGGAAUAUUGACAUUUUCUGAAAUCUUUUAUUUUCUCUAAACACCAUUAACACAGUAAAGCAAAAUUUCCCCACAAAAUUAAAAGAUUGCAUGUAAAGUAAACUCUGUGCAAUGGAAUGAUUAUCGGAAACAUUUUGAACAUUGACACAUUUCUGAGGUUGAUUUCACACAUUUUUGACACUUCAUUAAAGGAGAAUUCCACCUUUUUUAGUUCUUUUUUAAAGAGUUGUGAGUUCCUGGAAAGAUCAGCCAGAAAAUAAACAAUGAGAGGUUUUGAAUUCCUGAAAUCGACGGCGCUUCCCUUUAACUGUCACUGACAGAAAGGUGGAGGAACAUGAGACUCUGGUGAAUCAACACAACAAUACAUUCCUUUAGUGGAGUCAGCAGAUUAACAUUCAGCUAAAGACGGAAUUUGGUGUUGAGCAGCAGAUCAGAACUUAUAAAACUCUUUAAAAAUCAACGUUUCCAAAACUUUUACCUGCAGCCAAUAUUCUUAACCACGUCCUUUUCAACAUCACUUCAAUACAACAACUCUGCUAAAAUAGAUGAAUUAAAUCUUAAAUGGUGCACAACCGUAAACAUUUAAAUUAAAGAUGCUACAAUUUUGAUGAUAUUUUAAUGAUUUUAAAGUUUAAUUCAUAUUUUAAUCCCUGGUUCAAACUCCUCUAAUAUCUUAAUUCAUAAUGAACAACAAAGGCAGAUUUAGUCUGAACUUUGUGAUUAAUUCAGAAAUUCUUCAAGGAAAAUGUAUUUUACAGAUAAAGAGGUGUAGUCACAAAUUAAACAAGUCAUAAAAAAACUAAUCCUGACUAUCCAGCCUCCUUUUGUCUAAAAUACAUAAAUUUAAACAGGAAAUGUUUUUAUCUGACAGUGUUUGUUCAUUUUUUCUGAACUCAAUCUGUGGCGAUCACAGUAAAUUCUUUAAAUGAGAAAACUGAACUGAAGGCUGGAAGAGACUAAAGAGCUUUGCUUUCAUAACCUCUGAGAUUUACGUGCUCACAGCUUUUCUAGAGAUGUCUGGAGCAGAAAGCAGUUUGAUACUCCAGGAACUUUGUAUCUGUGAUGGGUGUGUUUGAAUAAUGGCGUCCAUUAGAGAGACAAGACUUAGUUUAGAGUUUGCCUCCAAGCUGCCUCCAAGUUUCGACUGUGGUUCCCAUCAGGCUUUGAGACCUGGUCACAUGAGGAAACUACCUCUGCUUGCGUGUAGAUAAGCUCGUCAGUUCAAACAAAAAGGCAAACAUGAAGCUCCAGACAGAUUCUCCACCUCCAGCCUCUCAGUCAUCAGAAUCACACAAUCUGUUUCUGCGAUCACAGCCCGUCCUCCAGUCUCCCCACCAGGGGGCGCAGUGCGCGGCUGCACAGCCCAGUCAGCCGCAAUAGUAUGUGUCUGCAGAGCCGGAGGCAGCACUUUCAGGACCGCACUGUGAGGACCGCGCUGCGCCCCCUAUUGAGCCAUAGUUGAAUAAACGGAACCGCACCGUCAGGACCAGAGUCCUGCACGGGUCCAAUUUUCAAGACCCGCCCCGGCCCGACCCGGGGACGUACGAACCCGCAACCGAACUGCAAACCCGCGCAUCAGCACGAUGAGUACCGCGACCCGAUCUGACCCGUUGAAACACGACCCGCAGCCCGACCCGUAACCCGUAUUUAAAGUCAUCAUUUUGGGUCACAGUGUCUGCAUCAUGCAGCACAUCGCCACAGUUCAGCUGCCAGUGACUAAAUAACACCUGAAUGAAGCAGCUCUUCCAAUAAAAGCCUGACUUCAGUCCUGAAUCAUCAGCCCUGCUGUUCUUCUCCCAUACAACUGUAAAAACACUCGUUUGUUACGUUUAAUGCUUUUAAACUUUUAAUCUCUUAAAGGUAACUUUUCGUGUGUAAUAGACUUACUUUCUGUCCAGACUUGAGCGGCGUUCAGCAGUUACGAGCCGGGACAUGUUUAGAAUCCAUCGAGGAGAAAAGUAAUCCAUCAGGGAAACACGGAGUAAUGUUUGAACGCUUCAGGAACAUUACAAAGUGAUAGUUGUGCGUUUUAUCCAUUUAUUUCUCAAAUAUCUAAAUAGCUAUUAACUGUUUUGGAAGUGGCGCUUGUUAGACGGCGGCAGACCGUUUGAUGCUCUCGUCCAAUCAAAAAUUGUGCUAUUAGAUGGCGAAACGCGAUUAAACAGCUGAGCCAAUGAAGCAACCCUCAGAGAGUAAAUAAUGAAGAUAGUUUUCUGUAGUUUGCUCAACUCACUGAAAAGCCCGGAAAUAGAUGCAGAAGAGCGGCGGUGCUGCAGACAGUCGCAGCGGAUGGAUCACGUCACAACGUUUUUAUUUUAUUUAUUAUUAUUUUAUAUUGAUUCUCAUGAGUCAAUCUACAACCCGCGACCCGAAACGCAAGCUAUUGUUCCCACCCAGAUCCGAACCCGAGAAAAAAAUAAAGCUUUUAAAAACCACCCGCAAAUCAGCUGUUUUUGCGGGUACCCAUCGGGUACCCGACCCAGUGCAGGACUCUGGUCAGGACCGUGCUGCGCCCCCUAGUGAGCCAUAAUUGAACGACUGGAGACCGCACCAUGAGGAACCCACUUUAGCGCCCCCUAUCGAGCUAUAGAUGAACAACCGCACCGUCAGGACCGCUCUGUCAGACCCACGCUUUAGCGUCCCAAUCGAGACCAAGUUGAAGAACCGAACAGCACCGCGAGGACCGUUCUUUUUCUGGACAGAAUCCCCUGCCACCUGCUUUAGAAUGUGCAUGUAGUUCAACACAGGUAUCCUACAUAAUUUACUGUUUUAAGGAUGAUUUCUCUCCAAAUAAACCAGCAGUUCAAAAAGUUACUGUUGUGAAGGAUGAUUACUGAAAAUAUUUGUACAAUUUAAAAUGUUUAAGGAGCAAAGUACAAAUUCAUGUACUGUUUAUAAUAAACGGUUUACUAAGCAAAAUACUGAUUGGUUCUUAUCAAGACAUUUUAGCUGCUCAGUUGAUGCUCACCUGCCAGUGGAAGCAUUAAUCACCAUGAUGAAUGACCGCUGAGAGUGAGUACUUACUGUUGAUUGUUCUAUUACUUUAACGUGACAACACAAAGUAACGUUUGUUUAGAACGUUUUAUUCUUUGAUGUUUGUGACAUCUUGCGCCAGUGGUGAUGUUGUUAUGUUCGCACCGCCCCGUUGGGGAGGGGAUUGUUGUUGUUGUGGCUCUGGCUGUUCAUUCGUUACAUGGCUGCUGCCUCAUGCUGUCAGCUGUGUCGUGUGAUUCGUUACCGUGUCCUCCUUCAUUACUGGUGUUAAGUUCUGUGGCACAGCUUUUGUUAACUUCCUAAACUGCAAGAAACAAGUCGUUUGCUUGAGCUCAACUUACAGUCUAACUACCAGUGUUAUAACAGCAUUUGUACAACCAAGUUUGUUCACUGAUUUGUCUAACUGCAUCAUAGCCAUAUUUUAGUAGAUUUAGCUCCAAAUGAUGAUGAUGAACUCCAGCCAGCAUCUUAAUUAACACGUCAUUAGAUGGUAUAAGUAUGUCCAAAUGUCUCUGACAAUUUAAUAAUAUAUAAUACCAUAUAAAUAUUUUAUUUCAAGAUAUUUUUAUCUAUGCUAGUAUUUUUUUUUUUUUGUAUUUUCAUGUGUCACAGUAGAAGAAAACAGAUAUUAAUUUAGCUGCAUUACUGUUAGUGGUGCUCCUGUUGCAACAUUUACUUCAUAGUUAAUCGUUUCACCAUCACAUUAUGUUAUUUUGUUGAGGCAUUUAUUUUUAGCAAUCAUUGUUGAUGUAGGAUUAUUCUUCACCGUCUAUUGGACCUCCUGUGUCAUGUUAUAGCGUUAUCCAGAAUAAAUCUAGUAAAGUACAUUCUUGAUGUUGUCAGGUUCUUGGAUUAGGCCCAAUUCAUGUGUAGUUCUGCUUGUAAUGAUGUAAAAAUGCUCAUUUCUCUUAUUUUGAAGAUCCAUACAACAAUUCAACAAGGGCCAUCCCCGCCUACUGACCAGGCGCAGCUCUUGUGAUCACUGUCCAUUCUGCAGCUCCACUUUGUUCCAGCCAACAACGUUGAGUAAAGUCAAAGCCCAUUUAGACAGCCAUUUUAAAAGAGCUGUUAUCCGUGAAUGUGAGGUCUUCAAACUAUUUCUAAUGAAAUACAAAUGGUGUAAAAAAUGUAAACGUUAUGACCCAUGAAUGAAUACGAACAAUUUAGUCAGUAGGUGGCGCUCACUUUUUGGCAUGACAUGUUUACAAUUAAAAAUAUAUUUUGCCUUAGUGAAAAGGUGAAAUAUGCCCACUUUGUUGGAUAUGUCCAUGCUAUGUAUACUUAUGUAUGUUGAUGUUUCUCUGCAUCCCUCAGAAUGUGAGGUCACAGAUUUUGCAGCAGGAGUCGGCACCUCAUUUAUUCAGUUUUGUUUAUAAAUGUAUAUAAAAAUAAUAAAAUAUAAAUGUGUCUCCAGAGUUGUCCUUGUUGAGCACCUCUUUUCACCUUUUUAAACUACCUUGUUUGAAAUGUAGAGAUAUAAUUCCAUAUGAUUUCCAUAAUUCUUCAAAUGGCAGUCUUGGAAACCAAGUAAUCAAUAUAAGCAAUAUUUUGGUUGAAAUAACCUUUAAUUUUUACCCUUUUUUUGUUCAAAUAACGUUUGUAAAUUACAUAUACACCUUACAUGUUGUAUGU